rnacentral:rRNA from 1 species
UACUCCUACGGGAGGCAGCAGUGGGGAAUAUUGGACAAUGGGCGAAAGCCUGAUCCAGCAAUGCCGCGUGAGUGAUGAAGGCCUUAGGGUUGUAAAGCUCUUUUACCUGGGAUGAUAAUGACAGUACCGGGAGAAUAAGCCCCGGCUAACUCCGUGCCAGCAGCCGCGGUAAU